rnacentral:rRNA from 1 species
GACGAACGCUGGCGGCGUGCCUAAUACAUGCAAGUUGAGCGCUGAAGGUUGGUACUUGUACCAACUGGAUGAGCAGCGAACGGGUGAGUAACGCGUGGGGAAUCUGCCUUUGAGCGGGGGACAACAUUUGGAAACGAAUGCUAAUACCGCAUAAAAACUUUAAACACAAGUUUUAAGUUUGAAAGAUGCAAUUGCAUCACUCAAAGAUGAUCCCGCGUUUUAUUAGCUAGUUGGUGAGGUAAAGGCUCACCAAGGCGAUGAUACAUAGCCGACCUGAGAGGGUGAUCGGCCACAUUGGGACUGAGACACGGCCCAAACUCCUACGGGAGGCAGCAGUAGGGAAUCUUCGGCAAUGGACGAAAGUCUGACCGAGCAAAGCCGCGUGAGUGAAGAAGGUUUUCGGAUCGUAAAACUCUGUUGGUAGAGAAGAACGUUGGUGAGAGUGGAAAGCUCAUCAAGUGACGGUAACUACCCAGAAAGGGACGGCUAACUACGUG